AAGGAGUAGUUGGGGUCCCGUUCCCCGUCGGGGGCAGGGUGACAGGUGGUGCAUGGUUGUCGUCAGCUCGUGUCGUGAGAUGUUGGGUUAAGUCCCGCAACGAGCGCAACCCUCGCCUCUAGUUGCCAGCAUUCGGUUGGGCACUCUAGAGGGACUGCCGGCGACAAGUCGGAGGAAGUGGGAUGACGUCAAAUCAUCAUGCCCCUUAUGACCUGGGCUACACACGUGCUACAAUGGGCGGUACAAAGGGCUGCGAACCCGCGAGGGGGAGCGAAUCCCAAAAAGCCGCUCUCAGUUCGGAUUGCAGGCUGCAACUCGCCUGCAUGAAGCCGGAAUCGCUAGUAAUCGCGGAUCAGCAUGCCGCGGUGAAUACGUUCCCGGGCCUU
rnacentral:rRNA from 1 species